AUGGAGCAGGUGACGAAGCUGGCGUCUGAGCGGGCGGUAGUGGUGUUCACGUCGAGCAGAUGCUGCAUCUGCCACUCCGUGACGUCCCUUCUCAGCGGCCUCGGCGUCCACGCAGCGGUGUACGAGCUGGACAAGGAUCCCCGGGGCAGGGAGAUGGAGAGGGAGCUCGCUAGGAGACUUGGCCGCGGCCCGCCGGUGGUUCCAGCGGUGUUCAUCGGCGGGAACCUUGUCGGUGGCACCAAAAGGGUCAUGGAGAUGCACCUCGCCGGCGAGCUCGUGCCCAUGCUCAAGGCCGCCGGCGCGCUCUGGCUCUAA
rnacentral:rRNA from 1 species